AGCAGCCGCGGUAAUUCCAGCUCCAAUAGCGUAUAUUAAAGUUGCUGCAGUUAAAAAGCUCGUAGUUGAAUUUCGGGACUAAUAUGUUGGUCGUGCCUCGGUACGUACUGAUAUUUUUGGUUUCUCCCUUCUGACGAACCUUGAUGUCAUUAAUUUGGUGUCUUGGGAAAUCAGGACUGUUACUUUGAAAAAUUAGAGUGUUUAAAGCAGGCUCACGCUUGAAUACAUUAGCAUGGAAUAGUGAAAUAGGACGUUUGAUUCUAUUUUGUUGGUUCCUAGGAUCGACGUAAUGAUUAAUAGGGAUAGUUGGGGGCAUUAGUAUUCAAUUGUCAGAGGUGAAAUUCUUGGAUUUAUUGAAGACUAACUACUGCGAAAGCAUUUGCCAAGGAUGUUUUCAUUAAUCAAGACGAAAGUUAGGGGAUCGAAGACGAUCAGAUACCGUCGUAGUCUUAACCAUAAACUAUGCCGACUAGGGAUCGGAUGAUGUUAAUUUUUAAUGUACUCAUUCGGC
rnacentral:rRNA from 1 species